UACAGAGGUCUCAAGCGUUGUUCGGAUUCAUUGGGCGUAAAGGGUGCGUAGGUGGCGCCGUAAGUCAGGUGUGAAAUUUCGGAGCUUAACUCCGAAACUGCAUUUGAUACUGCGGUGCUUGAGGACUGGAGAGGAGACUGGAAUUCACGGUGUAGCAGUGAAAUGCGUAGAUAUCGUGAGGAAGACCAGUGGCGAAGGCGGAUCUCUGGACAGCUCCUGACGCUGAGGCGCGAAGGCUAGGGGAGCAAACGGG
rnacentral:rRNA from 1 species